rnacentral:misc_RNA from 1 species
GAUGAAGAACGUAGCGAAAUGCGAUAAGUAGUGUGAAUUGCAGAAUUCAGUGAAUCAUCAAAUCUUUGAACGCACAUUGCGCCCUUUGGUAUUCCUUAGGGCAUGCCUGUUCGAGCGUCAUUUGAAACCUCAAGCUCAGCUUGGUGUUGGGUGUCUGUCCCCGCCUCACCGCGGGGACUCGCCUCAAAAUCAUUGGCGGCCGGUACGUUGGCUUCGAGCGCAGCAGAAACGCGAACUCGAGGCCCCGCGGAUCGGCGACCAGAAGUCACUUCUUCACAGUUUGACCUCGGAUCAGGUAGGGAUACCCGCUGAACUUAAGCAUAUCAAUAAGCGGAGGA